UAUUUUCAGAGUUCAACAAUGUCUAAAGGAGUCAUUUUAGUAACCGGUGGGGCUGGUUAUGUUGGUUCUCAUUGUGUGAUUGAACUUUUAAAUAGUGGAUACCAGGUUGUGGCGAUUGAUAAUUUUGUGAAUGCUGUAAAAGAUCCCACUGGGAAAACCGAAUACCCAGAAUCGCUCAUCAGGUUCAAAUAUUUUUAAAAUUUUAACUUCAAUAUCUUUUGGAAAAUAACGGUGCCAUGUUUCUACCUCGCCAUUUUUAACUCAAAUUCUGGUUUUAAAAAUAGCAACUA